rnacentral:tRNA from 1 species
GGGCGUGUGGUGUAAAGGAAACAUCUGUCUCUACGAAGGACAGGAUGGAGGUUCGAGUCCUCCCACGCCCA